UACGUAGGGGGCAAGCGUUGUCCGGAAUCAUUGGGCGUAAAGAGCGUGUAGGCGGCCCGAUAAGUCCGCUGUGAAAGUCCAGGGCUCAACCCUGGAAUGCCGGUGGAUACUGUCGGGCUCGAAUCCGGAAGAGGUGAGUGGAAUUCCUGGUGUAGCGGUGAAAUGCGCAGAUAUCAGGAGGAACACCAAUGGCGAGGGCAGCUCACUGGGACGGUAUUGACGCUGAGACGCGAAAGCGUGGGGAGCAAACAGG
rnacentral:rRNA from 1 species